rnacentral:rRNA from 1 species
AACAAGGUCUCCGUUGGUGAACCAGCGGAGGGAUCAUUAUCGAGUUAUUCAACUCCCAAACCCUAUGUGAACUUACCACUUGUUGCUUCGGCGCGCGCUUCGGCGCCGCCGAGGACACUUAAACUCUUUGUUUUUAUAAGCAUUUUUGAGUGGCCGAAAGGCAAAAAUACAAAUGAAUCAAAACUUUCAACAACGGAUCUCUUGGUUCUGGCAUCGAUGAAGAACGCAGCGAAAUGCGAUAAGUAAUGUGAAUUGCAGAAUUCAGUGAAUCAUCGAAUCUUUGAACGCACAUUGCGCCCGCCAGCAUUCUGGCGGGCAUGCCUGUUCGAGCGUCAUUUCAACCCUCGAGCCCGACUCUUUUGAGGACGGCUCGGCGUUGGGGGACGGCAGACUCCCCCCGGCAUCUCGCCGGGGACGCCGCCCCCGAAAUCUAGUGGCGGCCCUCCGAGGCGACCUCUGCGUAGUAACUUGUUCUCGCACCGGAAAGCUCAGAGCGGCCACGCCGUAAAACCCCAACUUUUUUCAGGUUGACCUCGAAUCAGGUAGGACUACCCGCUGAACUUAAGCAUAUCAAUA